rnacentral:rRNA from 2 species
CAGUCGAGCGAGAAGCUCCUUCGGGAGUGAGUAGAGCGGCGCACGGGUGAGUAACGCGUGGAUGAUCUACCCAGAUGAUCGGGAUAACAGUUGGAAACGACUGCUAAUACCGGAUACGCUCCCAUUUCGAACUGGGGGGAAAGGUGGCCUCUUCAUGAAAGCUACUGCAUCUGGAUGAGUCCGCGUCCCAUUAGCUUGUUGGUGGGGUAAAGGCCUACCAAGGCAACGAUGGGUAGCUGGUCUGAGAGGAUGAUCAGCCACACUGGGACUGGAACACGGCCCAGACUCCUACGGGAGGCAGCAGUGGGGAAUAUUGCGCAAUGGGGGAAACCCUGACGCAGCGACGCCACGUGGGGGAUGAAGGCCUUCGGGUCGUAAACCUCUGUCAGAAGGGAAGAAACGCGCCAUUUCAAAUAGGCUUGGCGUCUGACGGUACCUUCAGAGGAAGCACCGGCUAACUCCGUGCCAGCAGCCGCGGUAAUACGGAGGGUGCGAGCGUUAAUCGGAAUCACUGGGCGUAAAGCGUACGUAGGCGGCGUGUCAAGUCAGGUGUGAAAGCCCUCGGCUCAACCGGGGAAUUGCACUUGAAACUGAUAUGCUAGAGUUCUGGAGGGGGUAGCGGAAUUCCCGGUGUAGGAGUGAAAUCCGUAGAUAUCGGGAGGAACACCAGUGGCGAAGGCGGCUACCUGGACAGUAACUGACGCUGAGGUACGAAAGUGUGGGGAGCAAACAGGAUUAGAUACCCUGGUA